rnacentral:rRNA from 1 species
GACGAACGCUGGCGGCGUGCUUAACACAUGCAAGUCGAACGGUGAAGCGCCUUCCUUUUUGGUGGGUGUGGAUGAGUGGCGAACGGGUGAGUAACACGUGAGUAACCUGCCCCCUUCUUCUGGAUAACCGCAUGAAAGUGUGGCUAAUACGGGAUAUUCUGGGUCUGUCGCAUGAUGGGUCUGGGAAAGAUUUUGUUUCGGUGGGGGAUGGGCUCGCGGCCUAUCAGCUUGUUGGUGGGGUGAUGGCCUACCAAGGCGGUGAGGGGUAGCCGGCCUGGGGGGGUGGGCGGCACUAGAGCGGCGGGGACGCGGCCAAUACUACGAGGGGAGGCAGUAGGGGGGAAUAUUGCACGAUGGGCGGAAGCCUGAUGCAGCGACGCGGCGGGAGGGAUGGAGGCCGUCGGGUUGUGAACCUCUUUCGCCAGUGAAGCAGGCCUGCCUCGUUUGUGGGUGGGUUGACGGUAGCUGGAUAAGAAGCGCCGGCUAACUACGUG